rnacentral:rRNA from 1 species
GAUGAACGCUGGCGGCAUGCUUAACACGUGCAAGUCGGACGGGCAGUGGUGUUUCUAGUGGCGGACGGGUGAGUGACGCGUGAGAAACUGACCUUUGGAUGGGAACCACAACUGGAAACGGUUGCUAAUACCCCGUAGACCUAGUAGCAAAAGGUAGAAUCCGCCCGAGGGUGGGCUUGCGUCUGAUUGGCUAGUUGGUGAGGUAAUAGCUUACCACGGCGAUGGACAGUAGCUGGUCUGAGAGGAUGAUCCGCCAGACUGGGACUGAGACCAGGCGCAGACACCUACGGGAGGCGGGCGAGAGCAAGUCGCAGCAACGGGGCGAGGGCGAACGAGGCAUUGCGGCGGGGAGGUAGAAGGCCCAGGGGUCGUGAACUUUGUAUGUCGGAGAAGAAAUAAUGACGGUAGCUGAGGAAUAAGCAACGGCUAACUCUGUG